rnacentral:rRNA from 1 species
AUUGAACGCUGGCGGCAGGCUUAACACAUGCAAGUCGAGCGAGCGGCGGACGGGUGAGUAAUGUCUGGGACACUGCCUGAUGGAGGGGGAUAACCACUGGAAACGGUAGUUAAUACCGCAUACCAUCAGAUGUGCCCAGAUGGGAUUGGCUUGUAGGUGGGGUAAUGGCUCACCUAGGCGACGAUCCCUAGCUGGUCUGAGAGGAUGACCGGCGACACUGGAACUGAAGCACGGUCCAGACUCCUACGCGAGGCCGCAGUGGGGAAUAGUGCACAAUGGGCGCAAACCUGAUGAAGCCAUGCCGCGUGUGUGAAGAAGGCCUUCAGGUUGUAAAGCACUUUAAGCGGGGAGGCGUUACUCGCAGAAGAAGCACCGGCUAACUCCGUGCCAGCAGCCGCGGUAAUUC